GCCGGAAUGGCUUAGUGGUAGAGCGUCGCACUCGUAUAAUUAAACGCCAUGCGAAGGUCCCUAGUUCGAUCCUGGGUUUCGGCA